UUUCCCGCGAAACUAACUCGCGCCGAAAGUUCUAAGGGGCGUGGCUAGUUCGAUACGGUCACGCCUAUCACUCCUCCCAGGACCUGAAAGAAAGCUGUCGACAGAAAAGUUUAUGAAAAACACGAGGCAUUCAUGAGAGCUUCAGCAUUUGGGAACAAAGGCCUUGGUGUCUUUGAGCUUCAUUGUCAACGUUAUCUCUUUGGCUACAACGAUGUGACUGCAUGUGAUGUUCUGCAAAUGUACAGAAGAGCCAUAACCAUUUCUGAGAAAGCCGUUGUCAAGGUUACAUCACUG